AGUGGGAUAGCUGGGUCAAAUGGUGGUUCCAUUCCCAGUUUUCUGAGGAAUCUCCCACUGUUUUCCAUAGUGGUUGUACCGAUUUGCAGUCCCACUAGCAAU
rnacentral:pre_miRNA from 1 species